GAGCGGUAGAGAGAAGCUUGCUUCUCUUGAGAGCGGCGGACGGGUGAGUAAUGCCUAGGAAUCUGCCUGGUAGUGGGGGAUAACGUUCGGAAACGAACGCUAAUACCGCAUACGUCCUACGGGAGAAAGCAGGGGACCUUCGGGCCUUGCGCUAUCAGAUGAGCCUAGGUCGGAUUAGCUAGUUGGUGAGGUAAUGGCUCACCAAGGCGACGAUCCGUAACUGGUCUGAGAGGAUGAUCAGUCACACUGGAACUGAGACACGGUCCAGACUCCUACGGGAGGCAGCAGUGGGGAAUAUUGCACAAUGGGCGCAAGCCUGAUGCAGCCAUGCCGCGUGUGUGAAGAAGGUCUUCGGAUUGUAAAGCACUUUAAGUUGGGAGGAAGGGCAGUAAAUUAAUACUUUGCUGUUUUGACGUUACCGACAGAAUAAGCACCGGCUAACUCUGUGCCAGCAGCCGCGGUAAUACAGAGGGUGCAAGCGUUAAUCGGAAUUACUGGGCGUAAAGCGCGCGUAGGUGGUUCGUUAAGUUGGAUGUGAAAUCCCCGGGCUCAACCUGGGAACUGCAUUCAAAACUGACGAGCUAGAGUAUGGUAGAGGGUGGUGGAAUUUCCUGUGUAGCGGUGAAAUGCGUAGAUAUAGGAAGGAACACCAGUGGCGAAGGCGACCACCUGGACUGAUACUGACACUGAGGUGCGAAAGCGUGGGGAGCAAACAGGAUUAGAUACCCUGGUAGUCCACGCCGUAAACGAUGUCAACUAGCCGUUGGGAGCCUUGAGCUCUUAGUGGCGCAGCUAACGCAUUAAGUUGACCGCCUGGGGAGUACGGCCGCAAGGUUAAAACUCAAAUGAAUUGACGGGGGCCCGCACAAGCGGUGGAGCAUGUGGUUUAAUUCGAUGCAACGCGAAGAACCUUACCUACUCUUGACAUCCAGAGAACUUAGCAGAGAUGCUUUGGUGCCUUCGGGAACUCUGAGACAGGUGCUGCAUGGCUGUCGUCAGCUCGUGUUGUGAAAUGUU
rnacentral:rRNA from 1 species